rnacentral:rRNA from 1 species
AUACGUAGGGGGCGAGCGUUGUCCGGAUUUAUUGGGCGUAAAGGGUGCGUAGGCGGCCUUGUAAGUCAGAUGUGAAAUCUCACGGCUUAACCGUGGUAAGCAUUUGAAACUGUGAGGCUUGAGUACAGGAGAGGAGAGUGGAAUUCCUAGUGUAGCGGUGAAAUGCGUAGAUAUUAGGAGGAAUACCAGUGGCGAAGGCGACUCUCUGGACUGUAACUGACGCUGAGGCACGAAAGCGUGGGGAGCAAACAGGAUUAGAUACCCUGGUAGUCCACGCCGUAAACGAUGAGUGCUAGGUGUCGGGGGUCAAACCUCGGUGCCGCAGUUAACACAUUAAGCACUCCGCCUGGGGAGUACGGUGGCAACACUGAAACUCAAAGGAAUUGACGGGG